rnacentral:rRNA from 1 species
ACGAACGCUGGCGGCGUGCCUAAUACAUGCAAGUUGAGCGCUGAAGGUUGGUACUUGUACCAACUGGAUGAGCAGCGAACGGGUGAGUAACGCGUGGGGAAUCUGCCUUUGAGCGGGGGACAACAUUUGGAAACGAAUGCUAAUACCGCAUAAAAACUUUAAACACAAGUUUUAAGUUUGAAAGAUGCAAUUGCAUCACUCAAAGAUGAUCCCGCGUUGUAUUAGCUAGUUGGUGAGGUAAAGGCUCACCAAGGCGAUGAUACAUAGCCGACCUGAGAGGGUGAUCGGCCACAUUGGGACUGAGACACGGCCCAAACUCCUACGGGAGGCAGCAGUAGGGAAGCUUCGGCAAUGGACGAAAGUCUGACCGAGCAACGCCGCGGGAGGGAAGAAGGUUUUCGGAUCGUAAAACUCUGUUGGUAGAGAAGAACGUUGGUGAGAGUGGAAAGCUCAUCAAGUGACGGUAACUACCCAGAAAGGGACGGCUAACUACGUG